rnacentral:lncRNA from 1 species
AUGCCGGCUGGGUCGCUGUGGAUGACCCGGUCCAGGCGGAAGACGGCCGAGCUGCUGGGUGGCGGGGGAGGCAGGGGGAGCCCCACGGGCUGCUCCUCUGGGGGCCGGCUGAAGGGCGAGCGGGGGGCCGGGGACCGGGGUUCAGCCUUCGCCACCCCUGCCACGCCCACCCGCCGCCCGCCCGCCCGCCCCGCGCCCCGCCACCUCACCUGCGGUUCUUGGGAGAAGGCCAGUUCCUCUUGUCCCCCGGCUGGGCCCGGCCCGACCCCCCGGCCCUCCCCCGGCGCCGCCCCCGGCCUUGCCCGGGGGGUCCCGGGCGCCGGUUCUGCCGCUCCAUGCCGGGCCGCUGGCUGGAGAAGCUGCGCUUGCUCAGGUCGCGGGCCCGGUGACUGGGCUCCGGACGCGGUCCCGGCCCCCCCGGGCGGCCCCCCGCCGCCGGCCUUGGGGGUCAGCAGGGCGGCCGGGGGGGCCUCCUUGUCCCCGCGCCGCUCGCCGGCGAAGUCGCUGCUCUCCGAGGCCGUCUCCCACUCCUCGUUGGCCUGGUCCGAGUUCUGGUUCGAGAGGUCCGGGGACUUGGCCGCCGCCGCGGGCGGGGGGGCGGCUGGGCGGGCUGCGAGGAGGCCGGGGCCGGGGGCGGGGCUGGCGGGGCGGGGGCGGGGCCCGGGCCCGCGUCGGGGGGCUCGUCGGGGGCCGGGGCCGGGACCAGGGGCCGGGGCCGGGGAGGGGCCGUCCGCCCCGCGGGCCGCGUUGUCCCGCUCCUGCUUGAGCCGGCGGAAUCGGGGGCGGCUUGUCCUGCUGCUGGGCCCGGCCGUGCCGUCUGCGCCGCGGCCGUUCGCCGUCCUCACAGGCCGCCCCGCGGCGGCGGGCCCGGAAUGGGCCGCCUCCCGCCUCCGGGGCCUUCUCCUUGGCCCCGCCGCCGCCCCCGACGAUGACGACGACCGCUUCCUUGCUCGGCGGCGGCGGCGGCGCCCCCAGGGGCUUCUUGGGGCCCAGGGCCUUGGCCGGGGGACUCCAACCGGCCAUCACCGGGGGCCGCCCGCCCCCGCGGCCCCGGCGGGAGGGGACCCCGCGGGGGGUGAAGACGCGCCCGCCCCGGGCCGCCGGGAAGCGGGCUCCCGGGGCCGGCGACGGGUGCGGGGGGAGCGGCGGCGGGGCGGCCGGGGGCACGGCAACCUCCUUGUCGAGGGCGCCAGGUCGCUCUCUGUGGGUCUCGCUGCCCGUGCUCGAGCCCCGCUGGCGGCGACGCUUGGGCACCUCCUCGUACUCGAGCCUCGCUCCGCGUCUCGCUGGCCGUGCGGCCCCGCGGCGGAGGGGGUGGGGCCGGGCCCCCCGACCCACGCCCGUCCUCUGCCCGGAACUCCGGGAGCUGCGGAACUCGCGGCCCCGCGGCCCCCGGCCCCCGGCCCCCGUAGGUGCCCGGAAGCCGCGGCCACCCGGAGCGAAGUAUUCCCCGCCCGCCCCGCCCCAGCAGGGGUCCAGGGGCCCUCGGAGGAGUAG